UGACCUUUCUCUGUCACUUCUCCGAGUUUUGAAAAACUCACAAUACUUUAAGGAACAAUACCUAGCCUUUCUGAUGACACAAUGAAUUCCUGUGCAUUCCAAUCUUAGAAUCUGUAGGGCAUGGAGACUGCUCUGUGGCACAACUAGAGAAGGAGAGAUGUGGGGGACAGUUGGAAGAGUGGUAAAGCAGUAGAGGCAGAAUGCUCAUUUUGGUAAUCAAGGAGCACCAAAACAUAACAAAUGAAUUCUCCCCGAUACCUCCUAAGGAUGAUGACUUAGCACUCACUUUCUCUAGAAGUAAUGGCUACAGAGUUGAAGAGGGGCAGAUAAUCCAGGAUCUUCCCAGAAGAGACAUUCCCACAGCAGGCACAGCUGGUUCCUGUUGAAUGCCAUCAGGAUGAUUCAGCCACCCACCAGGAACACCAGUAACAGCAAGUGCACGCACAGAAAUCUGCAAAACUUUCUUCUUUUGAUGCCAACACUAUUACUCUGGCAAAGUCAAAACCCUUUAUGGAUUUACCAGUUCAACUAAAUGUGACCUUGUUCCCCUCACAAAUACCAGCUCACUCUCAAAUAAACACAACUUCUGGCUGAUUAAAAUGCAACGUUCUUCCACAGUUGAGUGCACCCUGCAGUGAGUCCCUCCUCUGUGCUGUGUCUACAUUCUCUCCCUUUUUCAUUUUUUCACUGUUCAAUGAAACUUCAAAGGAUGAAUGAGAUCCAUAUACACUCAGAGUCCACCUUGUAUGUUGUCCUGCUUACUGCUGACCACAUGCAUUUAAAGUUAUGCCUCAAGUUGUUUUAUUGUUUCUAUUUUUAAGAAGUUUUCCAUUUCCACAGAAUGUGGUAAUAUGCCUUGAAAAACAGAAAUGUGUAGAUAAACUGUGCUGACCACAGACUUCAUUAAUACAUGAUUUCCAUGCCAUACUCUAGCCAGUUAAAAAUUCUAUACCUUCCUCCUUCAAAUCUAGACCAGAUUACAGACUUAAAGGAAGAAAAUGCCAAAGAUGACAGCUAGCUAUCAAAAAUGUUCUAGUGCCUCAUUUUCAGGUCUCCAAAGUAAAAUCUAAGGGCAUUCGACAAAGAUUCAGGUGCUCUCAAUAGCCAUGAAAAUAUAUGGCUGAAGAGGGAAUCUGUAAAUGUAAUGAAUACACAAUUGGCUUAUAACAGAUGCAACCAAAAUUAAAUUCAAGAUCUUGACCUACUCUUCAAAGUGAAAGUUUUUAGUUCAUGCUACAGAGAG
rnacentral:lncRNA from 1 species